CCCUCAAGUACAGCAUCUCAAAUGGUGUAGGCUUCGAAAUAUUGGGGAGAUCACUAACCAAGGGUUGAGCCAUGCCCUGAUCUGGGGCUUGUAGAUCGCCGCUUUCUUGAUUCUGGAGUUUUAGGGCAGCUUUGACGGGUUUGUCUUUUCUCCAGACUUUGCAGAGGGGCCCGCAGCUAUUUCGAUGGUGAAGCUGUGAUGCUGGAUUCGGUGGUGGUGCUGUGAUGCU
rnacentral:lncRNA from 1 species